rnacentral:rRNA from 1 species
GACGAACGCUGGCGGCGUGCUUAACACAUGCAAGUCGAACGAAGUGGCGAACGGGUGAGUAACGCGUAAUCAACCUGCCCUUCAGAGGGGGACAACAGUUGGAAACGACUGCUAAUACCGCAUACUGAAGGAGGGGAUUGCGUCUGAUUAGCUAGUUGGAGGGGUAACGGCCCACCAAGGCGAUGAUCAGUAGCCGGACUGAGAGGAUGAACGGCCACAUUGGGACUGAGACCCGGCCCAGACCGCUACGGAGGGCAGCAGUGGGGAAUCUUCCGCAAUGGACGAAAGUCUGACGGGGCAACGCCGCGUGAUGGAGGACAGCCUUCGGGUUGUUAAGGUCUGUUAAUCGGGAGGCGGUACCGGAAUAGAAAGCCACGGCUAACUACGUGCCAGCAGCCGCGGUAAUAC